rnacentral:rRNA from 1 species
GCAGCCGCGGUAAUUCCAGCUCCAAUAGCGUAUAUUAAAGUUGUUGCAGUUAAAAAGCUCGUAGUUGAACCUCGGGAUCAAUGGAUCGGUCAUGCCAUCGGUAUGUACUGGUCUCAUUGGUUCUCACCUUCUAAGGAACCAUGAUGUCAUUAAUUUGAUGUUGUGGGGAAUUAGGACUGUUACCUUGAAAAAAUUAGAGUGUUUAAAGCAGGCUAACGCUUGAAUACAUUAGCAUGGAAUAAUGAAAUAGGACAUCGCAUUCUAUUUUGUUGGUUUCUAGGAUCGAUGUAAUGAUUAAUAGGGAUAGUUGGGGGCAUUAGUAUUCAAUUGUCAGAGGUGAAAUUCUUGGAUUUAUUGAAGACUAACUACUGCGAAAGCAUUUGCCAAGGAUGUUUUCAUUAAUCAAGAACGAAAGUUAGGGGAUCGAAGACGAUCAGAUACCGUCGUAGUCUUAACCAUAAACUAUGCCGACUAGGGAUCGGAUGAUGUUGAUUUUUUAAUGACUCAUUCGGCACCUUACGGG